AUUGAACGCUGGCGGAAUGCUUUACACAUGCAAGUCGAGCGGCAGCACGGGGGCAACCCUGGUGGCGAGCGGCGAACGGGUGAGUAAUACAUCGGAACAUGCCCAGUCGUGGGGGAUAACACUUCGAAAGAAGUCCAAAUACCCCAACCUUCCUGGGGGGGAAAGCGGGGAAUCGCAAGACCUCGCGCGAUUGGAGUGGCCGAUGUCAGAUUAGCUAGUUGGUGGGGUAAAGGCCUACCAAGGCAACGAUCUGUAGCUGGUCUGAGAGGAUGAUCAGCCACACUGGGACUGAGACACGGCCCAGACUCCUACGGGAGGCAGCAGUGGGGAAUUUUGGACAAUGGGGGCAACCCUGAUCCAGCCAUUCCGCGUGAGUGAAGAAGGCCUUCGGGUUGUAAAGCUCUUUCGGCAGGAACGAAACGGUGAGCUCUAACAUAGCUUGCUAAUGACGGUACCUGAAGAAGAAGCACCGGCUAACUACGUG
rnacentral:rRNA from 1 species